CCCUAUCACAGAAUAGGGCCUGACACAAAAUCUAUCUAAAGUGUGGGAUUCCCGUCCACCUGGUGGACGGGAAAUCUGAUUGGUUGAUCAGCAUCAUGAAGGAUUUUGAUUGGUUGCAAGUUCACAUAAACAACAGUUUUAAAGAUAGCUCGGUCAAGGCGAGAAUUAAUAUAAAGGUCAAACGCACGUAACAAAUUCCAUUAUCGAUUUCUUCGAAUUUCUUUCCUUUUAUGCUUUAUGGAAGAAAAUAAAUCAAACAAACAGUAUUUUGAAAGGGCUUCAUCAAAAUCUUUGACGAAUUUUGGAC
rnacentral:lncRNA from 1 species